rnacentral:rRNA from 1 species
AGGACGAACGCUGGCGGCGUGCUUAACACAUGCAAGUCGAGCGGAAAGGCCCUUCGGGGUACUCGAGCGGCGAACGGGUGAGUAACACGUGAGCAACCUGCCCCUAGCUCUGGGAUAGCUCCGGGAAACCGGGAUUAAUACCAGAUACGACCACUUUAGACAUCUUUUGUGGUGGAAAGGAUUCCGGCUAGGGAUGGGCUCGCGGCCUAUCAGCUUGUUGGUGAGGUAACGGCCCACCAAGGCGACGACGGGUAGCCGGCCUGAGAGGGCGACCGGCCACACUGGGACUGAGACACGGCCCAGACUCCUACGGGAGGCAGCAGUGGGGAAUAUUGCGCAAUGGGCGAAAGCCUGACGCAGCGACGCCGCGUGGGGGAUGAAGGCCUUCGGGUUGUAAACUCCUUUCAGCAGGGACGAAGCGAAAGUGACGGUACCUGCAGAAGAAGCGCCGGCUAACUACGUGCCAGCAGCCGC